rnacentral:rRNA from 1 species
AGAGAGAGACAUGCGCGCAUAUCAAUAAGCGGAGGAAAAGAAACUAACAAGGAUUCCCUUAGUAACGGCGAGUGAAGCGGGAAGAGCUCAAAUUUGAAAUCUUCAAGGUUUCACCUUGACGAAUUGUAGUUUAAAGAAGUGUUUUCUGCUGAAGUUAUGGUAAAAGUUCUUUGGAAUAGGACAUCAUAGAGGGUGAGAAUCCCGUAUUUGACCAUUAUUUCAGCUUUGUGAUACACUUUCAAAGAGUCGGAUUGUUUGGGAAUGCAGUCCAAAAUGGGUGGUAAAUUUCAUCUAAAGCUAAAUAUUGGCGAGAGACCGAUAGCGAACAAGUACCGUGAGGGAAAGAUGAAAAGAACUUUGAAAAGAGAGUUAAACAGUACGUGAAAUUGUCAAAAGGGAAGCGUUUGACACCAGUGUUGUUUUCUCGAAAAUCAAUUAAAAAUGGCUCGAUUUUGUAUUGUUGAGACCUUAAAAGGCUCACUGUACAUUUUUCGUGUCUUUUUUAAUGCACUUUUCGUUUAACAAGUCAACAUCAGUUUCUUUUGUUGUAAAAGGGUCAUUGGAAGGUGGCUUUCUUUUCGGAGAAAGUGUUUAUAGCCUUUGGCCUCUGCAAUCGGAGAGACUGAGGUCUGCAGCGUAGACUCUUCGGGGUUAGAUACAUUUGUGCUAAGUUAUAGCUUUUUAUAGACAACUUGUUGACUAUGAUUAGUCAUUGUAGCUUACUCGCUUAUGCUAUUUUACCUACGCUUAGGAUGUUGAAGUCAUCGUAUCGCGC